rnacentral:rRNA from 1 species
CCUACGGGGGGCAGCAGUGAGGAAUAUUGGUCAAUGGACGAGAGUCUGAACCAGCCAAGUAGCGUGAAGGAUGACUGCCCUAUGGGUUGUAAACUUCUUUUAUAAAGGAAUAAAACGAGGCACGUGUGCCUGUUUGCAUGUACUUUAUGAUUAAGGAUCGGCUAACUCCGUGCCAGCAGCCGCGGUAAUACGGAGGAUCCGAGCGUUAUCCGGAUUUAUUGGGUUUAAAGGGAGCGUAGAUGGGUUGUUAAGUCAGUUGUGAAAGUUUGCGGCUCAACCGUAAAAUUGCAAUUGAUACUGGGAGUCUUGAGUACAGUUGAGGUAGGCGGAAUUCGUGGUGUAGCGGUGAAAUGCUUAGAUAUCACGAAGAACCCCGAUUGCGAAGGCAGCUUACUAAACUGUGACUGACAUUGAUGCUCGAAAGUGUGGGUAUCAAACAGGAUUAGAUACCCGUGUAGUC